rnacentral:rRNA from 1 species
UUGUGAACAUACCUAUAACUGUUGCUUCGGCGGGCAGGGUCUCCGUGACCCUCCCGGCCUCCCGCCCCCGGGCGGGUCGGCGCCCGCCGGAGGAUAACCAAACUCUGAUUUAACGACGUUUCUUCUGAGUGGUACAAGCAAAUAAUCAAAACUUUUAACAACGGAUCUCUUGGUUCUGGCAUCGAUGAAGAACGCAGCGAAAUGCGAUAAGUAAUGUGAAUUGCAGAAUUCAGUGAAUCAUCGAAUCUUUGAACGCACAUUGCGCCCGCCAGCAUUCUGGCGGGCAUGCCUGUUCGAGCGUCAUUUCAACCCUCAAGCUCUGCUUGGUGUUGGGGCCCUACAGCCGAUGUAGGCCCUCAAAGGUAGUGGCGGACCCUCCCGGAGCCUCCUUUGCGUAAUAACUUUACGUCUCGCACUGGGAUCCGGAGGGACUCUUGCCGUAAAACCCCCAAUUCUCCAAAGGUUGACCUCGGAUCAGGUAGGAAUACCCGCUGAACUUAAGCAUAUCAAUAAGCGGAGGA